GGAGAGAUGCCCGAGUGGUUGAAGGGACUUGUCUUGAAAACAAGCGUGCCGGCAACGGUACCGUGGGUUCGAAUCCCACUCUCUCCGCCA
rnacentral:tRNA from 1 species